rnacentral:lncRNA from 1 species
AUUAUUUCUAAGAAUUCUUGACCAAUCCUUCCUCCUAAUUAGAUCAAGGAUCCUUUACUAUUACAACUUACUUUUUCGAAAAGGAUGGCCCCUAUUGGGCUAACUCUCUGAAUCGAACUUCACAGUACCCUUCGAUGCCUGCGCUCUUGUCAUCGAAUCUGAUCUCCAUUAACUUAUGGGUUGGCGAAUCCAGAUGAGAUAGCUGAUUCUCCUCUAACCGAUUUCUUUAAAUAAUAGACCUCUAGUAGUCCUCAGACUUCGAUAUCAGAGGAGGGAUCGAAUAUCAGACAUCAGCCAAUUCUCUUGAAGGCA